rnacentral:rRNA from 1 species
AGCGAAUGGAUUAAGAGCUUGCUCUUAUGAAGUUAGCGGCGGACGGGUGAGUAACACGUGGGUAACCUGCCCAUAAGACUGGGAUAACUCCGGGAAACCGGGGCUAAUACCGGAUAACAUUUUGAACCGCAUGGUUCGAAAUUGAAAGGCGGCUUCGGCUGUCACUUAUGGAUGGACCCGCGUCGCAUUAGCUAGUUGGUGAGGUAACGGCUCACCAAGGCAACGAUGCGUAGCCGACCUGAGAGGGUGAUCGGCCACACUGGGACUGAGACACGGCCCAGACUCCUACGGGAGGCAGCAGUAGGGAAUCUUCCGCAAUGGACGAAAGUCUGACGGAGCAACGCCGCGUGAGUGAUGAAGGCUUUCGGGUCGUAAAACUCUGUUGUUAGGGAAGAACAAGUGCUAGUUGAAUAAGCUGGCACCUUGACGGUACCUAACCAGAAAGCCACGGCUAACUACGUGCCAGCAGCCGCGGUAAUACGUAGGUGGCAAGCGUUAUCCGGAAUUAUUGGGCGUAAAGCGCGCGCAGGUGGUUUCUUAAGUCUGAUGUGAAAGCCCACGGCUC